rnacentral:rRNA from 1 species
UACGUAGGGGUCUAGCGUUGUCCGGAUUUAUUGGGCGUAAAGAGCGUGUAGGCGGCCAGGUAGGUCUGCUGUGAAAACUCGAGGCUUAACCUCGAGAUGUCGGCGGAAACCAUCUGGCUAGAGUCCGGAAGAGGAGAGUGGAAUUCCUGGUGUAGCGGUGAAAUGCGUAGAUAUCAGGAGGAACACCGAUGGCGAAGGCAGCUGCCUGGCCUAACACUGACGCUGAGGUGCGAAAGCGUGGGGAGCGAACGGG